UAGCGCUAGAGUUUGGUCCUGGCUCAGAUUGAACGCUAGCGGGAUGCCUUACACAUGCAAGUCGAACGGCAGCACGGACUUCGGUCUGGUGGCGAGUGGCGAACGGGUGAGUAAUGUAUCGGAACGUGCCCAGUAGCGGGGGAUAACUACGCGAAAGCGUAGCUAAUACCGCAUACGCCCUACGGGGGAAAGCAGGGGAUCGCAAGACCUUGCACUAUUGGAGCGGCCGAUAUCGGAUUAGCUAGUUGGUGGGGUAACGGCUCACCAAGGCGACGAUCCGUAGCUGGUUUGAGAGGACGACCAGCCACACUGGGACUGAGACACGGCCCAGACUCCUACGGGAGGCAGCAGUGGGGAAUUUUGGACAAUGGGGGAAACCCUGAUCCAGCCAUCCCGCGUGUGCGAUGAAGGCCUUCGGGUUGUAAAGCACUUUUGGCAGGAAAGAAACGUCAUGGGUUAAUACCCCGUUGAAAUAUGAACGGUACCUGCAGAUAUAAGCAUCG
rnacentral:rRNA from 1 species